UGUGGUUGUGGGUAAAAGACCAGUUCGGAUUGUGCUGGCGUGGCGCUGCGGAUUAUGCAGCUGCUGCAUGGAUGGUUGUGAGAUGCGGUUUGGGGGAAAUCUGUCUGGGAGCGGGUGGUUAGCGGAACUGAGGAUGUAGCGGCAAUUACCCGGCGGCCCGGUCAGUUACGGAGGCCGGUUCAUGAUGUCAUCGGGCCCGGACAUCGCUCACACCGGCAGCUCGGGCUGACCACUCAAAGGUUACCGCUAAAGUAACCGCCACGUGCUGCUUUACGAGUACUAUUCGCCACUCAUCCCUUUUUACUCUAAGUGCCGUGUACCACACUACCACUAUACCAGUAUCUCUCGUUUGGUCACCGAAGUCGGGAAGAUGAUACAACAGGAAACAGGCGAGGUACGGGCGACGGAGUUCCUGCGCCAACGGAUCAGCAUCGACAUCCAACGCGGGAACGCGGCCUCGGUCAUGGGAACAGCACCAGCAUCGGCUAACUUAGACGAAAUGUUCUGCGUGAUUAGGCCGCCCAUUUCUGUAAUCGGCUGAGCUGUGUAUUCAGUACAAAUCUUUCACUUUUAUAAAAAAUCUGCGACAAAUACUCGUGUACCUUGAGUUCUGAAAUAAAUCACGCUGCAAGUA